ACAUUGUGGCCCCACCUGAUGAGUGGACUAGAGAGACUGUUGGGUCCAGUCGCAUAUGAGGUGAGGUAAAUCUCAUGGAUCGCUAGGAUGUUGCACACAUGUGCUAUGUUGGGACAUGUGGGCGAGUGUAGAGGGCCUGGAAUCUACAUGCGUGAGGAACUUGGAAACCUCUAUAAUAUAAAUUAAUUUAGAGAAAGAGAAUUAUAGAUCAAAGGGGGAGAUGAUCAAAACCUUUUUUGUUAGCAUAGGCAAUUCCAACGCUUAUGCUCAGGCAAAGUGUGAACAGUCCAAGGAAUGUAAAAUUCAAUGGAUGACUCUGCUGAUAUGGAUACAAGGGGCACAAGGCUGCACAUUGGAGAGUAUGAGGUAUGUUAAUUACUCGCUGAUUGGAUGUUAGAAGACAUUCCAUGAAGAUGAAAUUAAUUUAGCAUGCAGAGCAUUAGACAAAAUAUUUGGAUUUUUCUUAAAAUGUGUAAAUUAUCUAGGAAGCCUGACCUGCAUCCUUAUGGAUGGGACAGGAGGCUGGAUGAAACAAAUGUUUACCUAAGCAGCUCAAUUAGUUUUCUUCAAAAAUGGUGAAGGGAAAGUGAUAUGUAUCCUUAUCGUGGUGGCAAGUCCUCUAGUGGUGGUUCGCCCUCGAAUAUAAUUACAGAAGAUGCACAGGAGAAGUUAUUGGUAUAACUGUCGGAUGUGCAGGUGGACUAUUGAUACUCGCAUCCAUUUUCUAUCUAUGGUGGAUGAAGGAAUCACCUGGCCAUAUGCGAGUGCACACAGACUCUCCAAGAUUUGUACUUUCAGCAUUAUUGUAAUUGUAAUUGAAUUGAAUGAAUGAAGGAUUGUAAUUGAUUCAUUAUUAAAUGAAUGAUUGUAAUUGACUGAAUGAAUGAAUGAUUGUAAUUGAUUCAUUAUUGAAUGAAUGAAUGAUUGUAACUGA